rnacentral:rRNA from 1 species
AUUGAACGCUGGCGGCAGGCCUAACACAUGCAAGUCGAGCGGAUGAAGGGAGCUUGCUCCUGGAUUCAGCGGCGGACGGGUGAGUAAUGCCUAGGAAUCUGCCUGGUAGUGGGGGCUAACGUCCGGAAACGGGCGCUAAUACCGCAUACGUCCUGAGGUAGAAAGUGGGGGAUCUUCGGACCUCACGCUAUCAGAUGAGCCUAGGUCGGAUUAGCUAGUUGGUGGGGUAAAGGCCUACCAAGGCGACGAUCCGUAACUGGUCUGAGAGGAUGAUCAGUCACACUGGAACUGAGACACGGUCCAGACUCCUACGGGAGGCAGCAGUGGGGAAUAUUGGACAAUGGGCGAAAGCCUGAUCCAGCCAUGCCGCGUGUGUGAAGAAGGUCUUCGGAUUGUAAAGCACUUUAAGUUGGGAGGAAGGGCAGUAAGUUAAUACCUUGCUGUUUCGACGUUACCAACAGAAUAAGCACCGGCUAACUUCGUG